AAGUAGUAUUUACCAUACACAGUCUGUCACAAUUUGAUUUAUGACCCCUGAUUUAUGGCUUGAUUUAUGAUCUUUUGAUUUAUGGCAUGCUGACUGACAAGGCUUGGGACAUGUCUGAUUGACAGGCUGACAUGUUUAUUACCCCACCAGCAACCCCCACCCUUGUCUUCUGCCGCAGACGUCACCUCACACCCACCCGGAUGUAACUUGUUUUACGACCUACACAGGCACCCCUAAACAAACACCAUCCAACACUAUGUAAAUUAUCUCACAGUUGUUUGAUAAGAGCCCCCCCUCAGUGUUAAUUGUAUGCAAAACAAUGCUGUAGCCAUGCUGUCUACUAUGUAUCAGAUCUUGUUGUUUGGUGUGUGAGACUUUAAGCUUUGUUUAAUUUGAAGACAUUUAAAAUAUAUGUUUUAUAUUAUGGGUGUCAAUUAAAUCAUUGUAAAUGAUCGGACUGUUAAAUGUUUUUUUAAAGCUAUUGUGUGGUCGCAUUUACCACCUAACCAAUCUAUGCUGGUCUUUUACGUUUAGUCUGUUCAUUUUGAGAUGUCUUUAAGGCAUACAUUUCAGAACAUUAUGUUUUAAAUGUAAAGUAAAUGUAUGGAAUCCUUUUAGUUUUAGUCUGUCCACAUUAAGAUGUUUUUUUUUUUUUUUAAGGUCUACAUUUUCAGCUUGUUAUGUUUUAAAUGUGGUUGAUGUUAAAUGUUUGGAUUGUUAUUUGUGUAAAACAACACACUUUUACCUAAACACAUUAAAAAAGUAAGAUACAUGUUUAAUGUAAUCUCUUAAGUAUAAAUUCUAAACCUGUGAAUAAAAAUAAUCGAAUUUUCAGUUUAACAAUUUUAAGAAUCUGUAUCGACACAUAAUACCACAUCUACUAAACCUAUUUACAUGGUAGUUACGUUUCAAAAGCUACACCAAUCACAGGCUAAAUGUUUUAAAUAUGUUAAUAGCGGUAGGAGUGGUCUACGUGGCCUUGUAUAUAGAUGGCUCACAACUCUGUUGGAGGUACCCAUUCAGACGCUAGCCUGAAAAAACCACGAUGGACGCAAGCUUUCUUGGUAUUUUCUUGGUCUAGGAACCUGUGAGCUGGAAAUAAUCCAAGCCGUUCAAAAUAUUGAAGGUUUAUCUCAACUUUGUGAGUAGUCUGUGAACACAUCGGCGCAUGUGGACCCUCUUGCAGGUCUAAAACGCUUAGUGGAUAGUAUCACGCCACCCGGAUUCGACAAUUUGUACACACAGCCAAAAAAUCCUCAACUACAGGAUAUAACCAACAACAGCGGAUACAGGAGAGCCUUUAAGCCAAACUUAACGAGCAGUCCGGAGGUGUUGCUUGGUAAACGUUGCAACAGGGAACCAUCUUCAAGCAGAAAACGCAUCAGGCUGGAAGACAGCUGCAUACUGUUAGAUACAGGUACAUACAUUUCGGCAUACUCUAC